rnacentral:rRNA from 1 species
UAAGUAGGUGGCGAGCGGUGUCCGGAUUUAUUGGGUUUAAAGGGUGCGUAGGCGGCCUUAUAAGUCAGUGCUGAAAUAUCCCGGCUUAACCGGGAGGGUGGCAUUGAUACUGUAAGGCUUGAGUAAAGCCGAGGUAGGCGGAAUUGACGGUGUAGCGGUGAAAUGCAUAGAUAUCGUCAAGAACCCCGAUAGUGAAGACAGCUUACUAGACUUUAACUGACGCUGAUGCACGAAAGUGUGGGGAUCAAACAGG